UACGUAGGGUGCAAGCGUUGUCCGGAAUUAUUGGGCGUAAAGAGCUCGUAGGCGGUCUGUCACGUCGGCUGUGAAAACCCGAGGCUCAACCUCGGGCCUGCAGUCGAUACGGGCAAACUAGAGUACUGCAGGGGAGACUGGAAUUCCUGGUGUAGCGGUGAAAUGCGCAGAUAUCAGGAGGAACACCGGUGGCGAAGGCGGGUCUCUGGGCAGUAACUGACGCUGGAGGAGCGAAAAGCGUGGGGGAGCGAACAGG
rnacentral:rRNA from 1 species